ACAGUGCAAUGGAGAGUGCGUUGGACUUCUAAUCCAAAGGUCAUGGGUUCGAAUCCCACCUGCAAUG
rnacentral:tRNA from 1 species